rnacentral:rRNA from 1 species
GUGCUUAACACAUGCAAGUCGAACGUGAAAACCUUCGGGUGAGUAAAGUGGCGUACGGGUGAGUAACACGCAGGUAACGUACCUUAAAGUUUGGAAUAACCCGUCGAAAGAUGGGCUAAUACCGGAUAGAGCGAAAAGUACGUGAGGUAUUUUUCGGGAAAGGGAGCUGGCAACAGCCCUCGCUUUAGGAUCGGCCUGCGCCUCAUUAGCUUGUUGGUGGGGUAAAAGCCUACCAAGGCUAUGAUGAGUAGCUGGUCUAAGAGGAUGACCAGCCACACUGGAACUGAAACACGGUCCAGACUCCUACGGGAGGCAGCAGUGGGGAAUUUUGCGCAAUGGACGCAAGUCUGACGCAGCCACGCCGCGUGAGUGAAGAAGGCCUUCGGGUUGUAAAGCUCUGUCGUGGGGGAUAAAAAAAUGCAGGUUAAUAGCCUGUAGAUUGAUAGUACCCCAAAAGGAAGCACCGGCUAACUCCGUGCCAGCAGCCGCGGUAAUACGGAGGGUGCAAGCGUUGCUCGGAAUUACUGGGCGUAAAGGGGAAGUAGGUGGUCUUGCUUGUCCGAUGUGAAAGCCCGGGGCUUAACCCCGGAAGUGCAUUGGAAACGGCAAGACUAGAGUCCUGGAGAGGGUCGCGGAAUUCCCGGUGUAGCGGUGAAAUGCGUAGAGAUCGGGAGGAACAUCAGAGGCGAAGGCGCGGCCUGGACAGGUACUGACACUCAAUUCCGAAAGCGUGGGUAGCAAACAGGAUUAGAUACCCUGGUAGUCCACGCCGUAAACGAUGGGCACUAGAUUUGACGGGACUUGACCCCUGUUGAGUCGCAGCUAACGCAUUAAGUGCCCCGCCUGGGGAGUACGGCCGCAAGGCUAAAACUCAAAGGAAUUGACGGGGGCCCGCACAAGCGGUGGAUCAUGUGGUUUAAUUCGAAGCAACGCGAAGAACCUUACCUGGGUUUGACAUCCUUCGACAGCUCUGGAGACAGAGUCUUUGUAGCAAUACAACGGGGUGACAGGUGCUGCAUGGCUGUCGUCAGCUCGUGUGGUGACAUGUUGGGUUAAGUCCCGCAACGAGCGCAACCCCUAUCUUUAGUUGCCAUCAUUUAGUUGGGCACUCUAGGGAGACUGCCGUGGUGAACACGGAGGAAGGUGGGGAUGACGUCAAGUCCUCAUGGCCCUUACGCCCAGGGCAACACACGUGAUACAAUGGCUGGUACAAAGGGAUGCCAAACCGCAAGGUGGAGCCAAUCCCAAAAAGCCAGUCUCAGUUCGGAUUGAAGUCUGCAAUUCGACUUCAUGAAGUUGGAAUCGCUAGUAAUCGCGGAUUAGCACGCCGCGGUGAAUACGUUCCCGGGCCUUGUACACACCGCCCGUCACACCAUGGAAGCUGACUCAACCAGAAGACGGACAGCCUGACUUCGGAGGGCACUGUCGAAGGUGGGGUUGGUGACUGGGGUGAAGUCGUAACAAG